GACGAACGCUGGCGGCGUGCUUAACGCAUGCAAGUCGAACGGAAAGGCCUCUUUCGGGGGGUACUCGAGUGGCGAACGGGUGAGUAACACGUGAGUAACCUGCCCUUGACUUUGGGAUAACUUCAGGAAACUGGGGCUAAUACCGGAUAGGAGCUCCUGCUGCAUGGUGGGGGUUGGAAAGUUUCGGCGGUUGGGGAUGGACUCGCGGCUUAUCAGCUUGUUGGUGGGGUAGUGGCUUACCAAGGCUUUGACGGGUAGCCGGCCUGAGAGGGUGACCGGCCACAUUGGGACUGAGAUACGGCCCAGACUCCUACGGGAGGCAGCAGUGGGGAAUAUUGCACAAUGGGUGGAAGCCUGAUGCAGCAACGCCGUGUGCGGGAUGACGGCCUUCGGGUUGUAAACCGCUUUCGCUCAUGACGAAGCUUUGCGUGACGGUAGUGGGUAAAGAAGCACCGGCUAACUACGUG
rnacentral:rRNA from 1 species